rnacentral:rRNA from 1 species
AUUGAACGCUGGCGGAAUGCUUUACACAUGCAAGUCGAACGGCGGCACGGACUUCGGUCUGGUGGCGAGUGGCGAACGGGUGAGUAAUGUAUCGGAACGUGCCCAGUCGUGGGGGAUAACGUAGUGAAAAUUACGCUAAUACCGCAUACGAUCUAUGGAUGAAAGCGGGGGAUCGCAAGACCUCGCGCGAUUGGAGCGGCCGAUAUCAGAUUAGGUAGUUGGUGGGGUAAAGGCCCACCAAGCCAACGAACUGUAGCUGGUCUGAGAGGACGACCAGCCACACUGGAACUGAGACACGGUCCAGAAUCCUACGGGAGGCAGCAGUGGGGAAUUUUGGACAAUGGGCGAAAGCCUGAUCCAGCCAUUCCGCGUGCAGGAUGAAGGCCCUCGGGUUGUAAACUGCUUUUGUACAGAACGAAAAGGUUUCUACUAAUACUAGGAGCUCAUGACGGUACUGUAAGAAUAAGCACCGGCUAACUACGUGCCAGCCGCCGCGGGAA